rnacentral:rRNA from 1 species
GUAAACCCAAGGUUUCCAGGGGAAGGUUCGUCCGCCCUGGGUUAGUCGGGACCUAAGCUGAGGCCGAAAGGCGUAGGUGAUGGACAACAGGUUGAUAUUCCUGUACUACCGAUAACCGUUUGAGAGAAGGGAUGACACAGUAGGAUAAGCUAAGCACACUGUUGGUUAUGUGUGCCCAAGCAUUGAGGCAGUCAAAGUAGGCAAAUCCGCUUUGAUAAUGCUGGGAUGUGAUGGGGAGCGAAAUUUAGUAGCGAAGUAGCUGAUUUCACACUGUCAAGAAAAGUCUCUAUCGAGGUUAAAGGUACCCGUACCGCAAACCGACACAGGUGGGUGAGGAGAGUAUCCUAAGGCCAGCGAGAGAACUGUUGUUAAGGAACUCGGCAAAAUGACCCCGUAACUUAGGGAUAAGGGGUGCCACCAUCAGGUGGCCGCAGAGAAUAGGCCCAAGCGACUGUUUACCAAAAACAUAGGUUUCUGCU